UGGGGAAUAUUGCACAAUGGGCGCAAGCCUGAUGCAGCCAUGCCGCGUGUAUGAAGAAGGCCUUCGGGUUGUAAAGUACUUUCAGCGGGGAGGAAGGGAGUAAAGUUAAUACCUUUGCUCAUUGACGUUACCCGCAGAAGAAGCACCGGCUAACUCCGUGCCAGCAGCCGCGGUAAUACGGAGGGUGCAAGCGUUAAUCGGAAUUACUGGGCGUAAAGCGCACGCAUGCGGUUUGUUAAGUCAGAUGUGAAAUCCCCGGGCUCAACCUGGGAACUGCAUCUGAUACUGGCAAGCUGGAGUCUCGUAGAGGGGGGUAGAAUUCCAGGUGUAGCGGUGAAAUGCGUAGAGAUCUGGAGGAAUACCGGUGGCGAAGGCGGCCCCCUGGACGAAGACUGACGCUCAGGUGCGAAAGCGUGGGGAGCAAACA
rnacentral:rRNA from 1 species